rnacentral:rRNA from 1 species
UACGUAGGUGACCAGCGUUGUCCGGAAUUAUUGGGCGUAAAGGGCGCGUAGGCGAUUUGAAAAGUCUUGUGUGAAAGCCCCGAGCUUAACUCGGGAAGUGCACAAGAAACUGUUGAAUUUGAGUUCCGGAGAGGAAGGCAGAAUUCCCGGUGUAGCGGUGAAAUGCGUAGAUAUCGGGAGGAAUACCAGUGGCGAAGGCGGCCUUCUGGACGGAUACUGACGCUGAGGCGCGAAAGCCAGGGGAGCAAACGGG